rnacentral:rRNA from 1 species
AUUGAACGCUGGCGGCAGGCCUAACACAUGCAAGUCGAACGAGUGGCGGACGGGUGAGUAAUGUCUGGGAAACUGCCUGAUGGAGGGGGAUAACUACUGGAAACGGUAGCUAAUACCGCAUACCAUCAGAUGUGCCCAGAUGGGAUUAGCUUGUUGGUGGGGUAACGGCUCACCAAGGCGACGAUCCCUAGCUGGUCUGAGAGGAUGACCAGACACACUGCAACGGAGGCACGGUCAAUACUCGUACGGGAGGCAACAGGGGGAAAGAUUGCACAAUAGGCGAAAGCCUGAUGAAGCCAUGCCGCGUGUAUGAAGAAGGCCUUCGGGUUGUAAAGUACUUUCAGUGGGGAGGCGUUACCCGAAGAAGAAGCACCGGCUAACUCCGUGCCAGCAGCCGCGGUAAUAC